rnacentral:rRNA from 1 species
AGAGUUUGAUCAUGGCUCAGGAUGAACGCUAGCUACAGGCUUAACACAUGCAAGUCGAGGGGAAACGAUAGGGAAAGCUUGCUUUCCUUAGGCGUCGACCGGCGCACGGGUGAGUAACGCGUAUCCAACCUGCCCAUGUCUGGGGAAUAACCCGUCGAAAGGCGGACUAACUCCCCAUGGUCUCCGAUGAGGACAUCUGAAUUGGAGUAAAGCUUCGCGGACAUGGAUGGGGAUGCGUCUGAUUAGGUAGUAGGCGGGGUAACGGCCCACCUAGCCUACGAUCAGUAGGGGUUCUGAGAGGAAGGUCCCCCACAUUGGAACUGAGACACGGUCCAAACUCCUACGGGAGGCAGCAGUGAGGAAUAUUGGUCAAUGGACGAGGGUCUGAACCAGCCAAGUAGCGUGCAGGAUGACGGCCCUAUGGGUUGUAAACUGCUUUUGCGCGGGGAUAACACCCUCCACGUGCUGGAGGUCUGCAGGUACCGCGCGAAUAAGGACCGGCUAAUUCCGUGCCCAGCAGCCGCGGUAAUACGGAAGGUCCGGGCGUUAUCCGGAUUUAUUUGGGGUUUAAAGGGAGCGU